GGUUCUUCUCCUCUUCUAGUGUUCUUCUGGUUCUUCUCCUCUUCUAGUGUUCUUCUGGUUCUUCUUCUACUCUUCGUCAUUAAUUGUGUCCUCCAUCGUCUCCUCAAUAGUUUCUUCUCUGUCAUUGUUCUCUCUCUUCUCUCCCUCUUCCUCCUCCCAUCCCUUUCUCAGUAGUUUACUCAGUCAGUCACAGUAUAUAAAUGUUAGUGUGGUGAAGAUGUGACGUGUUCAGGCUGAGGCAGAGGCUGGCAGUGGAGCUGUAUCGACAUACGGUGCGCGUCAAAGACCAGGACAUGAAGCUUUGUUCCCCCAAAUCGCCACGUCUUCAGGCGAAGGGAUGCAGCCUCGCAGUCACCUUGGUCAAACUUGGCAGGCAGAUAUUUCAUGGCUCCAGUAAGACAGAGAGUAGAGAGGCUGUUGAACUGCUGCAGAGAGCUCUGGACCUGUACAUCUGCUUCCUGGGGUCUGAUCACACACUGACCAGAGACUUACAACAGGAAAAGCCUUCUUUAGCUCCUACACAAUUUAAAAUGCUAACAUUUUCUUCUUGCAUUUUCAUAGGGUUUAAGAGAGAGUAAAGCAAUUACAGGUCAUUGGACCUAACGGAGUUGACCUUUGUCCUCUUAGGAUUUUAAAACACAGAAUCCAGGAGACCUUUGACCCCUCAGGUACCCAGGUCCAGACCCCUCUCCCACCUCUCCACUAGGAGGCUAAGCAGUGGGACCAGACCCAACACAGCCGCACCCCUUCACUACCAGGCAGGUACGUUCUGGAGGAACGGACAGUAACAGCUUUAAACAGAGAGAUUGGAUCCCCUUUGCACACACAGAGAUGCACACCGCUGGUCAGACAGACAGACAGACAGACAGGCCAGGGACAGGCACAGGGAGGAGAACAGAGCUGGAGAGACAGUGUCUUAUUCCGCCAGGAGGCGCUAGAGAGAAGAGAAAGAUCUAGAGAAGACUGCUCUCAUGGUGACCACUGAACUGUUUUGAGUGUUUAUGCUAUUCUUUUACCACUUUUGAUACCAAUCAGCUGUUUUCUUUUCAAUAUUGAAAUCUGUCACAAUAAAUGUUUUGCAUAUAAAUUGAAAUAAAAUGUUUGCUUGUU